UACGGGGGGGGCAAGCGUUGUUCGGAAUUACUGGGCGUAAAGGGCUCGUAGGUGGUCAACUAAGUCAGACGUGAAAUCCCUCGGCUUAACCGGGGAACUGCGUCUGAUACUGGAUGGCUUGAGUUCGGGAGAGGGAAGCGGAAUUCCGGGUGUAGCGGUGAAAUGCGUAGAUAUCCGGAGGAACACCGGUGGCGAAGGCGGCUUCCUGGACCGACACUGACGCUGAGGCGCGAAAGCUAGGGGAGCAAACGGG
rnacentral:rRNA from 1 species